UACAUGGGGUGCAAACGUUGCUCGGAAUUAUUGGGCGUAAAGCGCACGUAGGCGGUCCGUUAAGUCGGAUGUGAAAGCCCCCGGCUCAACCGGGGAAGUGCAUCCGAAACUGGCAGGCUAGAGUACGAAAGAGGGUCGCGGAAUUCCCGGUGGAGCGGUGAAAUGCGUAGAGAUCGGGCGGAACACCAGCGGCGAAGGCGACUACCUGGCCUGUUCUUGACGCUGAGGCGCGAAAGCUAGGGGGAGCAAACGGG
rnacentral:rRNA from 1 species